GAUGAACGCUGGCGGCGUGCCUAAUACAUGCAAGUCGAGCGAACAGACGAGGAGCUUGCUCCUCUGACGUUAGCGGCGGACGGGUGAGUAACACGUGGAUAACCUACCUAUAAGACUGGGAUAACUUCGGGAAACCGGAGCUAAUACCGGAUAAUAUAUUGAACCGCAUGGUUCAAUAGUGAAAGACGGUUUUGCUGUCACUUAUAGAUGUAUCCGCGCGGCGUUAGCUAGUUGGUAAGGUAACGGCUUACCAAGGCGACGAUGCGUAGCCGACCUGAGGGGGUGAUCGGCCACACUGGAACGGAGAGACGGUCAAGACUCGUAGGGGAGGCAGCAGUAGGGAAUCUUCCGAAAUGGGCGAAAGCCUGACGGAGCAACGCGGCGUGAGUGAUGAAGGUCUUCGGAUCGUAAAACUCUGUUAUUAGGGAAGAACAAAUGUGUAAGUAACUAUGCACGUCUUGAGGGUACCUAAUCAGAAAGCCACGGCUAACUACGU
rnacentral:rRNA from 1 species